GAUGAAGAACGAAGUGAAAUGCGAUAAGUAAUGUGAAUUGCAGAAUUCAGUGAAUCAUCGAAUCUUUGAACGCACAUUGCGCCCGCCAGCACUCUGGCGGGCAUGCCUGUUCGAGCGUCAUUUCAACCAUCAAGCCCCCAGGGGCUUGUGCUGGGGCCCUGCGGCUGCCCGCAGGCCCUGAAAACCAGUGGCGGGCUCGCUAGUCACACCGAGCGCAGUAGCACAUCUCGCUCAGGGCGUGCGGCGGGCUCCUGCCGUGAAACCCCCCACUGUAACCCCAAAGGUUGACCUCGGAUCAGGUAGGAAUACCCGCUGAACUUAAGCAUAUCAAUAAGCGGAGGA
rnacentral:misc_RNA from 1 species